rnacentral:rRNA from 1 species
CCUACGGGUGGCAGCAGUAAGGAAUAUUGGUCAAUGGACGAAAGUCUGAACCAGCCAUGCCGCGUGGAGGAUGAAGGUCCUCUGGAUUGUAAACUUCUUUUAUCUGAGAAGAAACCCAGAAUUUUUAUUCUGGCUGACGGUACCAGAUGAAUAAGCACCGGCUAACUCCGUGCCAGCAGCCGCGGUAAUACGGAGGGUGCAAGCGUUAUCCGGAUUCACUGGGUUUAAAGGGUGCGUAGGUGGGUUGCCAAGUCCGUGGUGAAAUCUCCGAGCUUAACUCGGAAACUGCCGUGGAUACUGGUAAUCUUGAAUAUCGUGGAGGUAAGCGGAAUAUGUCAUGUAGCGGUGAAAUGCUUAGAUAUGACAUAGAACACCGAUAGCGGAGGCAGCUUGCUACACGAUCAUUGACACUGAGGCACGAAAGCGUGGGGAGCAAACAG